rnacentral:misc_RNA from 1 species
AAAAUGCGAUACGUAGUGUGAAUUGCAGAUUACCGUGAAUCAUCGAAUCCUCGAACGCACAUUGCACUCUCAGGCACUCCUGGGAGUAUGCCUGUUUCAGUAUCAGUGUUCAUCAUCGAACCAGUCUGGUUUGGAUUUGAGCCAUUUUCACAACCGGCGGCAAAAAAAUUUCUGCUGCCCUGUGAGGCUUCAAAGGAAGAUAAAGAGUCAGCCUUGUCUGCUGCAACCGAAGCUGGAUAGUGCCGGUUAGGCAUUUUUGAAAGCUCAGGUGUUGUAAAGGUGUUGACUUUGAACAAUAUUUUUUGUCCGGGCUUUACAGCCCACCCAAAACUUGAUCUGAAAUCAGGCAAGAUGACCCCCUGAACUUAA